rnacentral:lncRNA from 10 species
AGUUUAGCGUAAACCGGGAAGCGGAUCGCGUGGAGUGAAAGUCACCGCAGCGGAGAUGGACAAACCAUGUGGGUGCCCUCCAGGUGUGUGCGACCAUGAAAUGGGAGACUAGCAGGACCCACGUUGGCCAACCGUGGACCUGGUCCCUCCAGUAGGAGUCGUGAGCCAGCUGAAUUUGAAUGCAAAGAUGGAGCAAGGGCCGACUGGAGUCACACUGACAUCCACCCCCAUAACAUGGGGACAGAUCAAGAAAACAAAGCAGGAAGCUGAGAAAAUGCUGGAGCAUCCAUGUGCUUGGCCAUGUUAGCAGUAGUGUCCUGUGAGGAUUGAUUUCCAAAAACUCCUGUUACAUGAGGAAGACACCAAGAAGAGCAAAGAAAAGGAGCCAGGGUGGCUCUUCCUCAGUCAAAUUAAAAGGAGAAGACCUCACUAAAGCCAGAAAAGCCCUACAGACCAGACCCUGUGUCCUCAGGCAGUGCCGAGGCAUCUGCAUUUUUGUCAUCUGUGUCAACUGCCUCACUCCAGCUCCCGGGUCUCCACGCUCUGCACAUCACCAGGGCCCAGUU